GUGAUUCUGUGCCUUCACAGUGCCCUGGAAAGUGCCUGCUCUGCACCUGGGGCAGUUUGGUGGAGUUAGGCUGACUUCAGACAGGAUGAUCUUCUACGACUUUUCUGCGACUUCAAAAGAGGUUCACAAAGCCAUGUGCCACAUGAAGCACCUGGGGUGGUCCUCUCUUCCUCCGCUGAUGUCAAAUAAUUCAGUUUCCACUUCCUCUGGAUGUGUAAGACCCACAGCUACAUUCCUUGCAAACGAGGUCUGAAGUAACAUACAUUUCCAGGACUAGAAGUCUACAACACUGGAAGCUGAGCAUCAUCUUAAACUCCUUGACCACAGACAUGGGAAGUUUGCAAAAAGAAAUGUGCAUGCCAAAAGCUGGCAUGUCUCCUUCAGUCAUGUCAAUACUGGCAAUGCAUGAGGAGCCUGAAACAAUGCAGGUUUAAACACAAGGAUGUAAUUUGUUGUUUUUUAAAUCUCACUAAUUGUUCAUUAAGUAGUACUCUUGCCCUUCUCCCCAUCCCUGGAGUGAAUCGAAA
rnacentral:lncRNA from 1 species